AAAAUGGAGCUGCUCAAGUUGUCAAAAUUCAAAUUGCAGCUUCAGUCAAUGAUCGGAGAAGUGCGAGAUCUGCGUGUAAGAAGAAUGAGGUUUCUAUACAUCUAUGGAUUGUGUAUCUUCUUCGCUCCACCAGUUUCUCUCUUCGUCUCCUUCCACUUUACUACCGGCGUUUUUGCAGGAAAGGGAGCGAUCAGUCACAGAUCACAUUAAUCUUGCGAAUCAGAAACAGAAGCAGACGGAGGAGGAAUACAUGAGGAAAGUGCAUGAGCUUCAAGCUGAGUUAGCUUCUUCUAGAGAAACACAGGAGGCACUCGAGAGGAAGGUGAGUUAUCUUCAGAACGACUAUAGUUUGCUGGAAAACAAGCAGAGUGAAUUGAAGACAACUAUCCAAAAUCUGCUUCAAUCACGAGAAAGUUUCUUAACUGCUUACCAGGAGUCGUUUUGUGAAAUGAACUGUUCAAUUGAAGCCAGGGAUAGGAAGAUUGCCAUCCUACAUGAGAAGAUAACCUCUCAUUUAGCAUUGUUUGAUUCGAUUGAGAAAGAGGCAUCGGUAAUUAAGAAGGUCAUACACCAAGUUCAGGACCUUGUGGAUCAAAAAGAAGAUGUAGUGGCUGGCUUGAAAGAGAAAAUGGACCAUGUCUCUACAUAUGAAAAAGUGUUUAUAGAGAACAUCAGAGCUUUAGAAGAGAAACUUGAAUAUCAUGAAACAGAAUUGCAGAGCAAGGAGAAUAUAAUAUCAGAGCUUUCGGCUCAGCUGGAAUCAGAAAAGAUUAAAAAUGAACAUCAACAUCAAGUCGAAGAGCUUCAGAAAACUUUGCAGGUCAAAGAUUUAGCUGUAGAGAACUUAAUUUCUGAAAAAGAGGCAUUGUAUUCUGAAGUGAAGGGUUUAGAGAUGAUUUUACAGCGGAUUCAGGAGUCUGUAUCCCUUAUGACUGAAGAGGAUAGAAAGGUGUUUACAUCAAUACUGACAUUCGAACAAGGUUCCAAUGAGAAAAACAAAAGAUCCAGGCACAAUGACACAGUUGACAAAAUGGAGGAACUUCUAUGUGAAGCUCCUGUUAUGCAUUCUCAAGAAAACUCAGUAAAAGUUAUUCCAUCAGCGUCUCCAAGGUGUCAGCACCAAAACACAGACUGCAGAAUGAUACAAGAUGAUGAUCAUCAACUGGAUUCGGCUGAGUACCUGCUGCAUAACACUGUCAGUGGCCAUUGGCAGAGUACUAAUAACCACAACCACUUUGAGAUUGAGGACAAGUACAAAGAGUUGAUGAACCAGCCAGAUUCAGAGUGCUCAACGAAUCGCGUUUAAGAGUUAAGUGUCUCAUCAUGAUUUGUGAUUGUUAUCACUUAAACUCUUAUGUUGGUUUUUUGACCUCAUAAACUGCAGUAUUUGCAGGAGUUGAAGAACCGACGACAUUGGUACAGUAAAUAUCACAGGGAUAUCAAUUAUUAAGCUUGAAGAAAGUUCGUUUGGUGGGGACUCGGUCAUAUAAACGACGAGAACAUGAGUUUUCUACAUUUGCACGCAAUGAAAUUAGACGUGGACAAAUUAAAAGAUACUACAAUUUAUCUUGGUAAAUUAACUCGUCCGUAGUUAAUUGGCCUUAAUAUGAAGGGAACAAAUUUUGAUUACUUUGGUGGUGAAUACGACAAGUGCAACAGAGGAGUAGCCACUUAUAAGUCUUGAAUUACGUUUCAUCUAUGUAUUAAUCUUACUCAUUUAUUGGGUUGUCUAAGAAACAAAAACAACAAAGGUUAUUGGGAGUAUCAAAGAUGGCACAGAUGGUCCACCAUUCGAUUUCUUAGUUGGAUCCAACUGUCUUACAUUUAUCAGUUUAUGAAUGUGCAUGUAAACAAAUCAAAUGCUGACAGAAAACGAAAAAAGUAAGAGAAAAAAAAACUGGUACGGACUUACGUAGAGAGAGUUGCUUAAAAAAGGCCAUCAAUUAAAUAAUUAAAAAGGAAACGUGUUUUUAAUUAUACCUUUUUGUAAUGUGUGUAUGAUAUGAUUAUGACCCAUUAAAUGUAAGUUUGGUAAUCUAGACAGGUUUGAGAACUUAAUCACUAGAUUUAACAUCUUUGAUGGAAACUUUCCAUGUUUAAGCGAUAAAGAUUAUCAGCCGAGGACCUUUAAGAAGAGUUCACUUAAUUGGUUACACCUUUUUCCACUUCUACAUUAAUUAUGAUGGUUUUUUCUUUUCUUUUAUUAUUUUAUGAAUUUUAACUAGAAUUAUACUGUACUAGAUAGUAGAUAUUAAUUUACUCACCAAAAAAAAAAAAAAGA